UACAGAGGGUGCGAGCGUUAAUCGGAAUUACUGGGCGUAAAGCGCGCGUAGGCGGCUUUUCAAGUCGAUUGUGAAAUCCCCCGGGCUUAACCUGGGAACUGCAGUCGAGACUGUCUAGCUAGAGUACGGUAGAGGGGGAUGGAAUUCCGCGUGUAGCAGUGAAAUGCGUAGAUAUGCGGAGGAACACCGAUGGCGAAGGCAAUCCCCUGGGCCUGCACUGACGCUGAGGCGCGAAAGCCAGGGGAGCAAACGGGG
rnacentral:rRNA from 1 species